rnacentral:rRNA from 1 species
GAUGAACGCUGGCGGCGUGCCUAAUACAUGCAAGUCGAGCGAACGGGCGAGAAGCUUGCUUCUCUGAUGUUAGCGGCGGACGGGUGAGUAACACGUGGAUAACCUACCUAUAAGACUGGGAUAACUUCGGGAAACCGGAGCUAAUACCGGAUGAUAUUUUGAACCGCAUGGUUCAAAAGUGAAAGACGGUCUUGCUGUCACUUAUAGAUGGAUCCGCGCUGCAUUAGCUGGUUGGUAAGGUAACGGCUUACCAAGGCAACGAUGCAUAGCCGACCUGAGAGGGUGAUCGGCCACACUGGAACUGAGACACGGUCCAGACUCCUACGGGAGGCAGCAGUAGGGAAUCUUCCGCAAUGGGCGAAAGCCUGACGGAGCAACGCCGCGUGAGUGAUGAAGGUCUUCGGAUCGUAAAACUCUGUUAUUAGGGAAGAACAUAUGUGUAAGUAACUGUGCACAUCUUGACGGUACCUAAUCAGAAAGCCACGGCUAACUACGUG